UACGAAGGGGGCUAGCGUUGUUCGGAAUUACGUGGGCGUAAAGCGCGCGCAGGCGGUCUUCCAAGUCAGUGGUGAAAGCCCGGAGCUCAACUCCGGAAUUGCCAUUGAAACUGUUAGACUUGAGGAUGAGAGAGGUGAGUGGAAUUCCCAGUGUAGAGGUGAAAUUCGUAGAUAUUGGGAAGAACACCGGUGGCGAAGGCGGCUCACUGGCUCGAUUACUGACGCUCAGGCGCGAUAGCGUGGGGAUCAAACAGG
rnacentral:rRNA from 1 species